rnacentral:rRNA from 1 species
CUGGAAGUAAAAGUCGUAACAAGGUCUCCGUUGGUGAACCAGCGGAGGGAUCAUCACCGAGUUAUUCAACUCAUCAACCCUGUGAACAUACCUAAACGUUGCUUCGGCGGGAAUAGACGGCCCCGCUGAAACGGGCCGCCCCCGCCAGAGGACCCUUAACUCUGUUUCUUAUAAUGUUUCUUCUGAGUAAAACAAGCAAAUAAAUUAAAACUUUCAACAACGGAUCUCUUGGCUCUGGCAUCGAUGAAGAACGCAGCGAAAUGCGAUAAGUAAUGUGAAUUGCAGAAUUCAGUGAAUCAUCGAAUCUUUGAACGCACAUUGCGCCCGCCAGUAUUCUGGCGGGCAUGCCUGUUCGAGCGUCAUUACAACCCUCAGGCCCCCGGGCCUGGCGUUGGGGAUCGGCGGAGCGCCCCUCGUGGGCACACGCCGUCCCCCAAAUACAGUGGCGGUCCCGCCGCAGCUUCCAUCGCGUAGUAGCUAACACCUCGCGACUGGAGAGCGGCGCGUCCACGCCGUAAAACACCCAACUCUUCUGAAGUUGACCUCGA